GCGUUCUAAGGCGGCACUUACGAGGGCUAU
rnacentral:sRNA from 1 species